GGUGCCUUUUUUUCUGUUGGUGCUGAAAUCAAAUGCUAACAUGUGUAACGGAUCAUUCAGAUGUUAUUUUUUAAUGAUCAAAUUUAAGACUGGUGUCAGGAAAUGUCAGGACUGGGAAGAAAAGAAAAACACUCAAAUACAAAAAGUAGGCCUCCUAUCACACAGCACAUUAGAUGUUGCAUUAAAAACAGGAACUCCAUCCUCAGCAUGUCUUACUCUCUUGACUCGUACUGUUUUUUUUUUGAUGCAGCCAGAUAGGGAGCAGUACUUGCUGAUGUAUGGGAUCUAAAGAGUUCAGAGUUGUCACUGUCUGUGAUUGACAUGAUGAGAGGAUCGAUGUAAAAGCCUUCCUGCCAGGCAAUAAUCCAUCCAAACUGAUCACGCUUAAAAUUGCCUGGGGUUAUUGAUUACAUGUGCAGGCCCUGAAAACACUGUAAGCACUGUGCGAUAACAAUCAAGUUGGCUAAGGAGGCAGAUUGUUUUCCCCCGUCCUCUUCAUUUCAUAUAUACUUUACUUUACUGGGCAGUUAUUUUGUCCAACAGAAGCUGUUGGAGACUGUCUCAAAAGGCUUUAUGUAUCUGCCUUGGAGAACUGCCCAUGCUAGCUCUGAUUGAUCUAUAUUUACAGUUUUUGUGCAUUGAUACAAAAUCUAAAGAUGACAUCAUUUUAGGUAGUUGAAGUUUAGCACUUCAGUUCGCUAUGACAGUCAGAUCACUCUGGUGUAAUCCUAGAUCUCACUGGCUACCGAUUGACAAAACCUUGACCUAUCUAAGGCCUUUACAAACAGGCAUCUAUAUAUACUGUGCAGCCAAAGAUCUGGUCUGAGACUAUGUCUCUCAGCACCAAAAAACACUCUUUUCUUCACAGCUGCUAGUCAGACUGCUGACAUGGAAACACAUUGGAAAGAGUGUUUGGGCUGGAAGUCCUUUACUUCUACCAAAGGCUGCACCCUUAGCUCCCAAAACUUGGCCGUCAUCCUAGACCUAACAGUAUUGUCCACUGAUAGUUAGUGCCUAAAGCUGAGAAUGUGAGCACUUUGAGAUCGUUAUUUUACAAUUUUUAUGGGGUAAUAGACCUAUUCAACUUUGACAGUCCAUCCAUCUAUCCAGCAAUGUCCAUCCAUCCAUCCAUUCAUCCAUCCAUCCAUCCAUCCAUCUGUAUCCUUCAGCUUAUUCAGGGUUGAGAUUUGGUGGUAGCAGGCAAAGCAAGUUUACUCGAUCAUCCCUCUCUUAAGCAACAUUUCCAAAUCCUUUUGGAGAAAUCAGAGGUGGUCCCAGGCUGCCAAGCUUUGGGUCUGACCUUGGAUCUCCUCAGUUGAAACAUCUAAAGAUAGGUGUUCAGGAAACAUCUUAAUUAGUGUCCCAAGCCACUACAGCUGGUUCCUUUCAUGGCAAGGAAAAGUCAAAGCUCUUCUCUGAGAUCCCUCUAGAUGUCUGAACAACAGCCAAUAACAUUUAAUAGCUGGACUGUCUUAACGUUAUCUUUCCUGAUUAUUCUGUGUAUGGUCACAGGGGUUAGUGCCUUUUUCAGCUGUCAUUGGACAGGAGGUUGGGUACAUCCUAGACAUGCCGACAGUCCACCACACGCAUUCACACUUAAGGGCAAUUAAUCGAAUGAUCUUGCUUUUGGACCAUGGAAGGAAGCCGGAGUACCCAGAAAGAACUCACAGAACGGGGGAACUUGCAAACCCCAUGCAGAGAGGCCCAUGCUUGGCCGUGGAUUCAAACUAGAAACCUUCUUGCUGUAAGGCCACAGUACUAACCACCACCAAUGGCUAAACAAGAUGAAACAUAUUUACAAAAAGAUAAAAUAGAAAUAAAGAAAAACCAUCUCAAAUAGCCAACUUAAAAGUAGCAGCAGCAGAACUGUAGAUAUCUGUUUUCUCCCAAAAUGAUUUAUUUGUUAAUUUUCCACAAUGUUUAUUUUGGAUUAUUAGAAUGAAGCUGUGGAUAUCUGAAAUUGAAGACCCAAUACAUGUGAAUAGUAAAAGUCACUUCAUUUCUUUAAGGAAGACUGUCAUUGUGGAUACAUUAGAUAACAGUUAUCACUGAUGGUAAUUGGACUUAUGUAGCACUUUUCUAGUCUUUCUGACCACUCAAAGUGCUUUUACGCUACUUGUCACAUUCACCCAUUCACAUUACGUUAAUUUACUGAUAGCAGAGGCUGCUAAACUCUGGGACAAUCAAAUUUAAAUAAUUUCAUUCACAUGUUUUCACACACUCCUCUGUUUCUACAGCUGGACAAGUUUGGGGUGCAGUGCUUGACUCGAGGACACUUCAGCAUGUGACAGCAGGGGCUGGGAUUGCCCCCCAACCUUCUUAUUCAGAGACUCCACCACUGAGCUACAGCUGUGUCUGUUAAAAAAAGAACCAUUUUAUACCAUGAAGAGUAAGGAUGGGAAUCGAGAACUGGUUCUUGUCGAGAACCGGUUCCGAAUGGUUCAAUCCAGCAACAUUGUUUACGUUUUAUCUCAAUGAUUCCAUUAAUGAUUCCUUUCCUCUGGGUGUCAGCCGCUGCUGCUCUGGGUCAUAGGUAUGUCCUGUAUUAACAUUAGCACAAUGCAUGCCAGACUUAACAACGUAUUAUGUGUUUGACUUAAUACCGACCAAAGUAAAUGCUGUACAAAUAGUUUAUAGCCGUUUGAUUAUUUUUAGAUGAUAGCGACAGUGGACCGAGUGCAUCUGCUGCUUCUCCUGGCAGUGUUAGCUCUCUGGCUAAUGUUGCUAGCCCCACUGUUGACCUGCAGCAAACCCCAUUCACACUUGCGGCAAAGCAUGGCAUACAUCUUUUUCUGUUAUCAGAGAUUCAAUAAAAUUUUGAGUUAACAGUGAAAACCUUUAGUCUACUUCUUUUUUUUUUUUUUUUAAAUCAAAGUAAGGCCUUGAUAAGGGAAUUGUUAAAGAAUUGAAUCGAUAAGCAGAAACUUACCAGUUCCCAUCCCUAAUGAGGAGCGUUAUGGAUAUCUGCUUUAAAUGUUAAAACUGCUUUCCUUAAGUCUUUCAGAAAUCCCAAGAUGAAUAUAAUUUGACUGCUUAAACCAGACAGCAGAAGAUGACCAACUGGUGGUUUACUAAAUUGUUGGAGUUGUGAAUCUUAACCAGUUUGCAUAUAUGC